rnacentral:rRNA from 1 species
CGGCGGACGGGUGAGUAACGCGUGGGUAACCUGCCUUACACAGGGGGAUAACAGUUAGAAGUGACUGCUAAUACCGCAUAAGACCCCGGUACCGCAUGGUACAGAGGUAAAAACUGAGGUGGUGUAAGAUGGACCCGCGUCUGAUUAGGUAGUUGGUGAGGUAACGGCUCACCAAGCCGACGAUCAGUAGCCGGCCUGAGAGGGUGGACGGCCACAUUGGGACUGAGACACGGCCCAGACUCCUACGGAAGGCAGCAG